rnacentral:rRNA from 1 species
CAGUCGCCGCGGUAAUACGAGGGGGGCAAGCGUUGUUCGGAAUUAUUGGGCGUAAAGGGUGCGUAGGCGGUUUGACAAGUCUUAUGUGAAAUCUCUGGGCUCAACCCAGAGUCUGCAUGGGAAACUGUCGGGCUUGAGUAUGGGAGAGGUGAGUGGAAUUUCCGGUGUAGCGGUGAAAUGCGUAGAUAUCGGAAGGAACACCUGUGGCGAAAGCGGCUCACUGGACCAUAACUGACGCUGAUGCACGAAAGCUAGGGGAGCAAACAGGAUUAGAUACCCCGGUAGUCCCUGUCUCUUAUAA